UUAGCUCCUGGAUUAGCUGCUGGAUUAGCUCUUCGAUUAACAACUUGCUGGAGGCUAUUCAAAUUAGCCACACCGUGGGAUGUAAGGAGCUCUCUGAUUGGUUGGUCAGACACAGGCUGUCUGCCAGCCUGGAUUUUUCUAGCUCAUAGCUUCUCCCUGCUAAGAAGCGUGUGUGCUUGUACAAAGGCCGUUCAGCCUCGGGAUUUACACUCGGCUCGACACGGAUAUGUGAAGAAUGAAGGGACUCUGCAGCGAAACGGAGAGCCCAACCUCUGACUGAGUGCCUGUCUACACAGUCUGACCACCUGUUGAAGGGCUGUUUGAUGACGAUUUGGACUCCUCUGGGAGAUGAGGACACACCCACAUCUGUUCCAUACUGCAGCCAUUGAUGGUGUUACAGCUCUGAGUCAGCUUUAGGCCAUCAGACGCACACACUGGAAAACCAGCACCUGGACUUCAUGCAGGAGAGACGGCCUCAGUGAUAAUUCAUCAGCAGCUGUGAAGAGAUGCAUUUGAAUAUCUU